UAUUGGGCGUAAAGUGCGCGCAGGCGGUCUUUUAAGUCUGAUGUGAAAGCCCCCGGCUUAACCGGGGAGGGUCAUUGGAAACUGGAAGACUGGAGUGCAGAAGAGGAGAGUGGAAUUCCACGUGUAGCGGUGAAAUGCGUAGAUAUGUGGAGGAACACCAGUGGCGAAGGCGACUCUCUGGUCUGUAACUGACGCUGAGGCGCGAAAGCGUGGGGAGCAAACAGGAUUAGAUACCCCAGUA
rnacentral:rRNA from 1 species